GGGAACGUGCUCUUCUGGUUCGGAAUAACCCUGGGAAACUAGGGCUAAUACCGGAUACGCCCUUAUGGGGAAAGGUUUACUGCCGGAAGAUCGGCCCGCGUCUGAUUAGCUAGUUGGUGGGGUAACGGCCUACCAAGGCGACGAUCAGUAGCUGGUCUGAGAGGAUGAUCAGCCACACUGGGACUGAGACACGGCCCAGACUCCUACGGGAGGCAGCAGUGGGGAAUAUUGGACAAUGGGCGCAAGCCUGAUCCAGCCAUGCCGCGUGAGUGAUGAAGGCCUUAGGGUUGUAAAGCUCUUUUAUCCGGGACGAUAAUGACGGUACCGGAGGAAUAAGCCCCGGCUAACUUCGUGCCAGCAGCCGCGGUAAUACGAAGGGGGCUAGCGUUGCUCGGAAUCACUGGGCGUAAAGGGCGCGUAGGCGGCGUUUUAAGUCGGGGGUGAAAGCCUGUGGCUCAACCACAGAAUGGCCUUCGAUACUGGGACGCUUGAGUAUGGUAGAGGUUGGUGGAACUGCGAGU
rnacentral:rRNA from 1 species